rnacentral:lncRNA from 1 species
UGUUUUUCUUGCUUCAAUCAUGCAUAAAUACACAUAUCUAACUCAAAUAUGUUUAGAUAUAGAGAUAUCUAACACUUACUCAAAAUUUUUAAGGAAAAGUAGAAUUUCUUCUCUCUAAACUUCAAGCUCAAACCUUCUAAAAUCUCUUUGAAAUCAAGUGUAGAGAGUGUUUAGGGCUUGAUUAAUUUAGUGAAGGAUUAUGCCAUAGAUGUGAUUUUGGGAAGCUUGGAAGGUCUCUCUAAUGGAGGUUCAUGGAGGAAAGAGAGAUGAGGGAGAGAGAAAGAGAGAGGGGCGAGAGGUUGAGGGUGAGAGGUGAGAGAAAAUUUUAUUUUGUUUUGAUACACUUUGAUCCUCAAGAUCAAAUGAAAUCUUCUUCAUUAAUUGCUUGUCUCCCAAAAUCU